rnacentral:rRNA from 1 species
AUUCCAGCUCCAAUAGCGUAUACUAAAGUUGUUGCAGUUAAAACGCUCGUAGUCGGAUUUCGGGGCGGGCCGACCGGUCUGCCGAUGGGUAUGCACUGGCCGGCGCGUCCUUCCUUCCGGAGACUGCGCCUACUCUUAGCUGAGCGGGCGUGGGAGACGGAUCGUUUACUUUGAAAAAAUCAGAGUGUUUCAAGCAGGCAGCUCGCUCUUGCAUGGAUUAGCAUGGGAUAAUGAAAUAGGACUCUGGUGCUAUUUUGUUGGUUUCGAACACCGGAGUAAUGAUUAACAGGGACAGUCAGGGGCACUCGUAUUCCGUCGAGAGAGGUGAAAUUCUCAGACCAAUGGAAGACGAACCACUGCGAAAGCAUUUGCCAGGGAUGUUUUCAUUA